rnacentral:rRNA from 1 species
GUCCACGCCCUAAACGAUGUCAACUAGGUGUUGUGGGAGCGAUUUCUCAGUACCGUAGCUAACGCGCGAAGUUGACCGCCUGGGGAGUACGGCCGCAAGGUUAAAACUCAAAGGAAUUGACGGGGACCCGCACAACGGUGGAUGAUGUGGAUUAAUUCGAUGCAACGCGAACAACCUUACCUACCCUUGACAUGUCCGGAACCCUGCUGAGAGGUGGGGGUGCCCGAAAGGGAAUCGGAACACAGGUGCUGCAUGGCUGUCGU